UACGAAGGGGGCUAGCGUUGCUCGGAAUCACUGGGCGUAAAGCGCACGUAGGCGGAUCCUUAAGUCGGGGGUGAAAUCCUGGAGCUCAACUCCAGAACUGCCUUCGAUACUGAGGAUCUCGAGUCCGGGAGAGGUGAGUGGAACUGCGAGUGUAGAGGUGAAAUUCGUAGAUAUUCGCAAGAACACCAGUGGCGAAGGCGGCUCACUGGCCCGGUACUGACGCUGAGGCGCGAAAGCGUGGGGAGCAAACAGG
rnacentral:rRNA from 1 species